UACAGAGGUCCCAAGCGUUGUUCGGAUUCAUUGGGCGUAAAGGGUGCGUAGGUGGCGCCGUAAGUCGGGUGUGAAAUUUCGGAGCUUAACUCCGAAACUGCAUUCGAUACUGCGGUGCUUGAGGACUGGAGAGGAGACUGGAAUUCAUGGUGUAGCAGUGAAAUGCGUAGAGAUCAUUAGGAAGAACACCGGUGGCGAAGGCGGCUCUCUGGAACGAUACUGACACUGAGACGCGAAAGCGUGGGUAGCGAACAGG
rnacentral:rRNA from 1 species